UGCAGAAGUAGAGGCACUUUGCUGGGGGCGAAGCGGGGAAUUAUAUUUCGACAUGCCAGAAGGAAGAAAAUUGGGAAGAAAAAGGACAUCAGAAAAAUGCCAUCAGUGGGGGAAAUGGAAAGUGAUGCAGUGAGGAGUGGAUGGAGCACAGCUAGAGAGAGUUUUCAGAAGGAAAAACUCCCUUGUCUGACAAUCUCUUAGAUGGUAUCGAAGAUGGCCAUAGCUGUUCUUUUGGGGGAAAAGAGAAGAAAUUAGUUGAGAUGGGCUAGAGCUGGCUGUUUCUUCGGAAGACAAAACAAGACGAACACACAUAGGAGGGAAGAGAAAAGAACAGCGAAGAUAGAAAAGGCAGUUUCUGGUGUUGACUCUCACACGGCUGGAAAAAUUCAGGCACAGCACCGGGUCUGAUCAGCCACACUGACACCUGGGCCUACAAUGCAGUUUUACGUGGAACCUGGCAGUUGACUCAUAUAAUAACAAGCCUAGACCUACCAGUGAGUUCUCUGGACAGCAAAAGAGAG